ACUCCUACGGGAGGCAGCAGUGAGGAAUAUUGGACAAUGGUCGGAAGACUGAUCCAGCCAUGCCGCGUGCAGGAAGACUGCCCUAUGGGUUGUAAACUGCUUUUAUACAGGAAGAAUAAGCUCUACGAGUAGAGUGAUGACGGUACUGUAAGAAUAAGCAUCGGCUAACUCCGUGCCAGCAGCCGCGGUAAUACGGAGGAUGCAAGCGUUAUCCGGAAUCAUUGGUUUAAAGGGUCCGUAGGCGGGCUAAUAAGUCAGAGGUGAAAGUUUUGCCGCUCAACGGUAAAAUUGCCUUUGAUACUGUUAGUCUUGAAUGGUUGUGAAGUGGUUAGAAUAAGUAGUGUAGCGGUGAAAUGCAUAGAUAUUACUUAGAAUACCAAUUGCGAAGGCAGAUCACUAACAACUGAUUGACGCUGAUGGACGAAAGCGUGGG
rnacentral:rRNA from 1 species